CUAUUUGACAAAGGCUCCAAAGGAAGCCACGGCUAACUCUGUGCCAGCAGCCGCGGUAAUACAGAGGUGGCAAGCGUUGUUCGGAAUUAUUGGGCGUAAAGAGCACGUAGGUGGAUUUGUAAGUCAGGUGUGAAAGCCUUCUGUUCAACGGAAGAAUUGCAUCUGAAACUGUAAACCUUGAGUGUAGGAGGGGAGAGUGGAACUUCUGGUG
rnacentral:rRNA from 1 species